CGGGGAGUAGCGCAGUCUGGUAGCGCAUCUGCUUUGGGAGCAGAGGGUCGCAGGUUCAAAUCCUGUCUCCCCGACCA
rnacentral:tRNA from 3 species